rnacentral:rRNA from 1 species
UACAGAGGGUGCAAACGUUGCUCGGAAUCACUGGGCGUAAAGGGCGUGUAGGCGGGAAGGAAAGUCAGAUGUGAAAUCCCUGGGCUCAACCCAGGAACUGCAUUUGAAACUCCCUUUCUUGAGUACCGGAGAGGAAGGUGGAAUUCCUGGUGUAGAGGUGAAAUUCGUAGAUAUCAGGAGGAACACCGGUGGCGAAGGCGGCCUUCUGGACGGUAACUGACGCUGAGACGCGAAAGCGUGGGGAGCAAACAGG